rnacentral:lncRNA from 1 species
UGUGAUUCCUCUGGGGGAUUAAAGUCAGGAUCAUCUAAAGGCAGAGGGUGGACCAAGUCCCGUGCUCCUUUGUUUGCAGGGAACAAGGGAGCAAAAGCUAUCCUUUAAGGAUGCCUCCUGGCAUCUAGUUCCAUGUCAGGGCUUUGGUUACUCUCUGCUUACUCUGCUUAUUCCUGGGGGGGGGGGGGGGGUCCUGGAGCAGCCUCGAAGCUCGCAGGAAGUGAGCAGACCGUAGACAUUCUUGAACCAGGGUGCCACGCUUGCUCAGCUCAGUGGACGUACCUCAUCCUCCUUGUCUUGAUCCAUACAGCUUGAAUAUUCAUCUGUUAGACAUGCUUUGGCAGGCUGAUGGGGACCAUGAUGGCAGGGGAGUCAAAUUGAGACUCAGUGGGGCUUUCAAACCAAGCUUCUCCCUCCCUCUGCUUCAGCCACACCCCAGUGUGGUGCAACCCUGUCCUCAUGGGUCACCAGACUGGUGAAACCUGAACAGUUGGAGGCCAAAGGAAGCACUUGAUGACAAGAGGGUGGGGGAGGAGCUCCAAGGCUCUGUGGAAAAUUCCAUGAAACAGCACAGCUAGUGCUCUGUGGGGAAAGUACCAUGCUAUCUCCACAAGUGUCAGGCCUUCUAUUUUAUUUCUGUCACAAUUAUCUCCAGAACUGAACUCCAGGUAUCAUCAUGUUCUGGAAUGUGGAAGAGCUAGGAGAAAACAGAGUUCAAUGAUGAAUUUAACAAACAUGUAUUGACCACAGUCUUAGAUGUUGCCCCUGGAUGAGGCUGGCUCUUAACUCCUCCUCACUAAAGGCCUGCACUUGUAUUACUUCAUGCAAGCUUUACAAGGCUCCUCAGAGACUCCAGAACCCCUUUGUCCAGGCAAGGGAAGUGAAAUGCCUAAUAUUAUGUGACUUUGCAGAUAAAUGGCUGUGCUGCAAUUUGGACUUACAUGCAUUCAGCCAAGAACAGCAUUUAUUGUUGUUCUUUUUAGACAGGGUUUCACUAUGUAUACAGACUGACCUCAAACUCACAGAGAUGCACCUGCCUCUGCCUCUGGGAUUCAAGGUGUGCAGGACAA